AAAUUCCGUCUAAUACCGCGUAACAACCCAUGGAGGCAUCUCCGUGGGUUUAAAGGAAGCGAUUCCGGCUACGGAUGGUCAUGCGUCGCAUUAGCUUGUUGGCGGGGUAACGGCCCACCAAGGCGACGAUGCGUAGGGGUUCUGAGAGGAAGGUCCCCCACACUGGUACUGAGACACGGACCAAAAUUAAACGGGAGGCACCAGUGAGGAAUAUUGGUCAAUGGCCGCAGGGCUGAACCAGCCAAGUCGCGUGAGGGAUGACGGUCCUAUGGAUUGUAAACCUCUUUUGUCAUGUAUUAAAGGGCGCCACGUGUGGCGUUCUGCGAGUACCUGAAGAAAAAGCAUCGGCUAACUCCGUGCCAGCAGCCGCGGUAAUACGGAGGAUGCGAGCGUUAUCCGGAUUUAUUGGGUUUAAAGGGUGCGCACGCGGAAUGUCAAGUCAGCGGUAAAAUUUCGGGGCUCAACCCCGUCGUGCCGUUGAAACUGGCGUUCUUGAGUGAGCGAGAAGUAUGCGGAAUGCGUGGUGUACCGGUGAAAUGCAUAGAUAUCACGCAGAACUCCGAUUGCGAAGGCAGCAUACCGGCGCUCAACUGACGCUC
rnacentral:rRNA from 1 species